AGGAUGAACGCUGGCGGCGUGCCUAAUACAUGCAAGUCGAACGAGGUGCUUGAGUAGCAAUACAAGAGUAUCCUAGUGGCGAACGGGUGAGUAACGCGUUGGUGACCUACCCCAAAGUGUGGGAUAACAGUCCGAAAGGAUUGCUAAUACCGCAUGUGAUCAUUGGAAUUAGAAACUGAUGAUUAAAGGAGCAAUUCGCUUUGGGAGGGACCUGCGUCCCAUCAGCUAGUUGGUGAGGUAAUGGCUCACCAAGGCGACGAC
rnacentral:rRNA from 1 species